rnacentral:rRNA from 1 species
GACGAACGCUGGCGGCGUGCUUAACACAUGCAAGUCGAACGGAAAGGCCCUGCUUUUGUGGUGUUCUCGAUUGGCGAACGGGUGAGUAACACGUGAGUAACCUGCCCUUGACUUUGGGAUAACUUCAGGAAACUGGGGCUAAUACCGGAUAGGAGCUCCUGCUGCGUGGUGGGGGUUGGAAAUUUUCGGCGGUUGGGGAUGGACUCGCGGCUUAUCAGCUUGUUGGUGGGGUAGUGGCUUACCAAGGCUUUGACGGGUAGCCGGCCUGAGAGGGUGACCGGCCACAUUGGGCCUGAGAUACGGACCAGACUGCUACGGGAGGCAGCAGUGGGGAAUCUUGCACAAUGGGAGGAAGCCUGAUGAAGCAACGCUGCGUGCGGGAUGACGGUCUUCGGGUUGUAAACCGCUUUCGCCUGUGACGAAGCGUGAGUGACGGUAAUGGGUAAAGAAGCACCGGCUAACUACGUG